rnacentral:rRNA from 1 species
AUGGAAGGUGAAAAAAGAAAGAAGCUGCCAGAUCUUCGUUUUUCAGGAGCUGUGCACAGAGAAUUGCUGGUUAAGUCCGCUGUUUGGUUGCAUCACUCUGCUUGGGCGGUGGCAAGUCGUCACUAUGGAACUGAGGAGUGCCCUCUCAACAUCUUGGGAGGCCUCUCUCCUGAGCAAACACAUCACAUACUCCAUCAUUGUUGUAUCACAAGGCAGAGUGAUCCUGCCAUCGCUUGUGAACCCAAACUCCUCCUGAGACAUCCUCAGGAGCUCCUCGAAGACCGUUGUGCGGAGGCACACCAGGGGGAUCUCGAACCGCCUCCCGUCGGAAGAGUAGACAACGAAGUGGCCCUUGCCUGCAACUGA